rnacentral:rRNA from 1 species
UACAGAGGGUGCAAGCGUUGUCCGGAAUUAUUGGGCGUAAAGAGCUCGUAGGCGGUUUGUCGCGUCGAAUGUGAAAACCCGGGGCUCAACCCCGGACUUGCAGUGGGUACGGGCAGACUAGAGUGUGGUAGGGGAGACUGGAAUUCCUGGUGUAGCGGUGAAAUGCGCAGAUAUCAGGAGGAACACCGAUGGCGAAGGCAGGUCUCUGGGCCACUACUGACGCUGAGAAGCGGAAAGCAUGGGGAGCGAACAGG